ACCUAGGCUAAAACACUAGACAUCGAUGGGUAACCCUACUAUCCCACACCCAACCCCGGGUGAGGCGAACGAAGGACUCUAAGAGCCCCUAUCCUGCAAUCCUGAUUCUAGACCUCCAGACUCCCCUAUCGAGGGUCAUGUCCUCGGUAACCUGCAUUUUAGUCAUGUCCUGCCUAAUCACCUCCCCCCAAUGCUUCUUAGGCCUCCCUCUACCCCGCCGACCACCAGCAAUCUCCAGCCGCUCGCAGCUCCUCACCAGGGCGUCGGGACCCCUCCUCCGUACAUGCCCGAACCACCUCAGCCUCGCUUCCCGCAUCUUCUCGUCCACUGGGGCCACCUCUACCUUCUGUCGAAGA
rnacentral:lncRNA from 1 species